AUACGGAGGAUGCGAGCGUUAUCCGGAUUUAUUGGGUUUAAAGGGAGCGUAGGCGGGAGCUUAAGUCAGCGGUUAAAUGGUGCGGCUCAACCGUGCCCUGCCGUUGAAACUGGGUUUCUUGAGAGUGCAAGAGGCGGAUGGAAUUCAUGGUGUAGCGGUGAAAUGCUUAGAUAUCAUGAGGAACUCCGAUUGCGAAGGCAGUCCGCUGGGGCACGUCUGACGCUGAUGCUCGAAGGUGCGGGAAUCAAACAGGAUUAGAUACCCUGGUAGUCCGCACGGUAAACGAUGAUUACCCGCUGUCGGCGGCAGACAGUCGGCGGCCAAGCGAAAGCGAUAAGUAAUCCACCUGGGGAGUACGCCGGCAACGGUGAAACUUAAAUGAAUUGACGGGG
rnacentral:rRNA from 1 species